rnacentral:lncRNA from 1 species
UGAAAUUUAAAUUCAGACUUGACUUUACACAUAUGACCAUAAGACUUGACUUUACACAUAUGACCAUAAUUGAUUGGAAUUUAAGGUAACAUGAUAUCCCUUUCGAUAUUUUUGAAAAAGUUUGCAGUCCUUUGCUGCUUGGCAGCAAUUCAUACAUGACGGGUAGCAAUCUUCUUAUCUCCCGAAGGUGGGCAAGUCAUGUACGACACACCACCCAUACAAUAAAAUGGACAAAUCUUGGCUUCUACGGUUUCAACAUAAUUUCUUUCCAGUUCGAAAACUGCUUCAAAGACAAUAAACAGUAAGAUAACAAUGCAACUUACACAAAUUUAAACAGUAAAAAAAACAGUCUGAUGCACUAAGCUUUUGUUAUGUGUAGGAUCCGAGUUAGGUCAGAUCACAAGGGUUUACUGUACGCAGCCUUGCCCACUUGCCCCUUUUUACUACUUUGACUAGCGCCCGGCAAAGGAAUAAUUUUUUCCCAAAGCCGACACAUGUGACCUCCCGUUUACAUGGCAACAACUUUAGCAGUUACGUCAAGGCUCCCCUCCGUACGCAAACAGUAAGGAAUUGAUACGAAAAUUUUCAUUAUUAAAAAGGAAGAUCAGUAGUAGGUGAAAGGCGUAUACCAGACAGCAGGAAGAGGAAAGUGAGAACAACGACACUGCUAUUAGCCAUGCUUGUUUAGUACUUUAGUUUUAUCUGCUUAGAGCAUGUUAAUCUCUGGAGGUAUUUAUUGCAAAACAAUUCUUACUGAAAAACUUGUGUGGAAAAAAGAAUUAAAUGCAAGUUUAUCAGCUUGAACAACUUCUGGUCUAAUUUUAAUUAAGAUAUGCAUGCAUGUUGUCACCUGUCAAAAUGGACUAACUUCUGUCUAAUUUUAAUUAAGAUAUGCAUGCAUGUUGUCACCUGUCAAAAUGGACAAUUUUUUUGUGAAUUGUGGACAGAGUCUAACUUCUAUUGAACUAAAACUUCCACUGAAAAUUCAAUUUCCAAAUCAUUUAAAAGUUCUAAGUUUUGCCGAAAGAAAACAAACGAAAGUUAAUACACAUAGGAAGUGAACUGGUAAGACUAAUGAGUAAACCACAUAACAAAUAGUAGUAGCUUUUCAAUCUGAAUUAAGAAUUAAAAUUAUAUACAUCACUUAAUAAAUUUUAUUGUGUUUGAUAUGACGAAGAUUAUUUUUAAGGAAGAGCUUCUCUACGACAAAGUCUUUUCUAUCAAAAAGAGGAAAUGAUUUUUCUCAUUUAUAGACAAAAGUCAUUUUCCUUAAUUUAAUAAAUUAAUUUAUGCAAAAUGUUAUUGCUUGAUAGUUAGUACUUAGUAGUUUUUGUUACUUUCCAAACUCAUAACACAUAUUGUCAUCUUUGACCCACAAACCUUACGAAUUUUCACUUUGUGCUAUGCCUCAUUGAACCAAAAAACUCGCAUAUAAUGUAUACUUGUGGUAUUUCUAUCAGUGACGAAACUAAAAAUUUUCCUAAGGUAUUCAAAUUUAAAAGAAGUGAAAAAAAUUUCGACAAAAGGUGUUUAACAUGUGUUAUAUAUUUCUAAAAUGUAAUAUUGUACCUAUAUAUAGUGUAAUUUUUUGACGAAGGAUAAUAUUUCUAAAAUGUAAUAUUGUACAUAUAUAUAGUGUAAUUUUUUGACGAAGGAUGACCAAGUGAUCAUCCUUAUGACCUUGGAGCUUCCCCCAUGUUCCCUAUAAAGCUCUUUAUUACUUUUCUGUCUCAUCCCGAUAAGAAUUCGCUUAAGAUGUAACAUACCCUACUCCAAAAAGACACUUUAAUUUGUUUCAUUUUAAAAAUGGUAUUUCGUUCUAUUCUUUUUAUGCGUCACUUUUGUUAAUAAAAGAAUUGCAAAUAGUUGUCACUUAAGGACUAAGAAGACGCUUCAAUUUAUUUUUUCUUAUUCCACCUUAACUACUCCAAGCAUACAGUCACUAAUUACUUAUUUCGGGAAGAGAUUGGAUAAUUUAGUUUAAAACUCUUAUAUGAUUAAUGUUAUCAAAUGAUUCUAGUAUGCUAGAAUCUAAACCCCUAUCUAUAUUCAAUAUCCUAAUUAGCUAAAGAAAGCCGAAGGAGAAAUCCAUUCUUAUACAUAUAAUAUGGGUCAUCUGAAUUAAACAUAAGCUCAGAAUUUAUAACCAUAAUUACUAUAUAUAAUAAGGAAGAAUCAAAGUACUUUUGUAGUCCUAACAUACAUUUUAAAAAAAUAUAUAAACUUUUCACUUAAUUACUUUUAUGUCAUGAUCUUAUUUUAAUAUCAAAUUUACUUUUUGUUUUACGGUUUACAGCCUGCCAUAUCAUUUAAUAUCUCAGUAACAGGUGUGAAUGGACCCCACGUAAAUUUGUCAUUCUCACACAUUCCUAUGUACAUAUUUGGGAAAAUGCAUAAGUACCUCGUCAUUUAUACCUGAAUUUUCAACUACAUACUUUUCUUGGCAAGGAAUAGUAUGCCUUAUAGUCUUGAUGCGGUACUAACACACCCACGAAGCGAUGCAAAGCGCUCAACAUAUUUUGAGUCUCGCUUCAGUGCUUAAGCGUUCCUUUGACAACACUGAUCUAUACUUUUGCCAUCUUUUAUUUUAUUUAAUUCAUCACCCUUUAAACAGUAAAAAUAUCUAGAGAGUUUUGUAAGUCCGUAAAACAAUAUCAUCCCCACACAUUCCUAUGUACAUAUUUGGGAAAAUACAUAAGUACCUCCUGACUUAUACCCGAAUUUUCAACUACACACUUUUCUUUGCGGGAAUCCUAUUACCCCAUGAACUUAUUUUAAAUGGAAUUAUUUAUUCCAUUUAAAUAGCUACUACUAUUAAUGAUUAUUAUCAUCUCACAUCCAACUCUCCCUAAAAAAAACUACCCUUAUUAAACAUUACACUAAUUAUGUAAUUUUAAAUAUGUUACAUGUUCAUUUUUCUUGAUUUCAAAGGAAUAAUUUUUUCCCAAAGCCGACACAUGUGACCUCCCGUUUACAUGGCAACAACUUUAGCAGUUACGUCAAGGCUCCCCUCCGUACGCAAACAGUAAGGAAUUGAUACAAAAAUUUUCAUUAUUAAAAAGGAAGAUCAGUAGUAGGUGAAAGGCGUAUACCAGACAGCAGGAGGAGGAAAGUGAGAACAACGACACUGCUAUUAGCCAUGCUUGUUUAGUACUUU